UACGGAGGAUGCGAGCGUUAUCCGGAUUUAUUGGGUUUAAAGGGAGCGCAGACGGGGGAUUAAGUCAGUUGUGAAAGUUUGGGGCUCAACCUUAAAAUUGCAGUUGAUACUGGUCCUCUUGAGUGCAGUUGAGGCAGGCGGAAUUCGUGGUGUAGCGGUGAAAUGCUUAGAUAUCACGAAGAACCCCGAUUGCGAAGGCAGCCUGCUAAACUGUAACUGACGUUCAUGCUCGAAAGUGUGGGUAUCAAACAGG
rnacentral:rRNA from 1 species